CAAACACAGUAGUAGUUUGACUCUAAUGUAAGGUAACAAACACAGUAGUAGUUUGACUCUAAUGUAAGGUAACAAACACAGGAGUAGUUUGUCUCUAAUAUCAGGUAACAAACACAGUAGUAGUUUGUCUCUAAUGUAAGGUCAAAAACACAGGAGUAGUUGGGCUCUAAUGGCGCGUAACAAAGUAGCAGCUGUAGUUUGUCUGGUAAACAACCACAAUAGUAUGCCGUAACUUGUACUGGACAAUCUAAUCCUGCGUUACAAUAAGUCCACUGUUUAUUUUAGGCAAACUUACGAGGAUCCUGGUUGGUGGAGUGAUGUCGUCCUCUUGGCUCGAGUCUUGGCUCCUCCAUCAGCUCUCCUCAGCCAGAGUCCUGGUCUGGAACAAACAGCAGUGAUGGUCAUCCUCCAGAUUCACGGCUCCCCUACCAGCUCGCCUCCGCUCUAGAAACACGUUUUAUCGUCCUCCAGCGUCUCAGCUCCUCCAGCAGCUCUCCUCAGACAGAGUCCUGGUCUGGAACAAACAGCGGAAGUCUUGCUUCAACAAGUGGUAAAACAGAUGUAGUCGUCUGGUAUAUAUGGUACAAACGCCGGGAGUUUGUGGUAGCAGUAUUCUACUAGAAGUGGCAGUGAGUGUGAUGAUCACUUCAGAGUCAGGCUCCAUCUACCCCACGACAGACGUCCUUCACCAGGCAGGGCCUCCACCAGCUCCUCCACAAGGCAGGGCCUUCAGCACGACUUUGGAUUUUAGUGUUUCAGAUGAGCUUGGUGAUGGUUACCCUCUGGUCCGGUGCUGCAGGCCCCUGGUCUCCAGCCUCAGUCUCCGGUCCACCCUGGCACCACA
ensembl:lncRNA